UUCUUGGCUUUAUCCUCAACUUGCUAUGUAAUUUUGGGGGAGCCACAUAAACUCUCUGUGUGCCACCGCUCCCCUUCUGUAAGUCGCAGCUCCGGGCAAACCAUUCUGUGAUGUCAGUGUGAUGUCCACAACCACUAGGAUGAUGUCACACGGCAUGAAGUUUUCUCAGUUCACUCAAGAAAUCUGCAAGCAAGUUCACUCACACUAUCUUGAACAGAGAUUUGGUUUCCCCUGCAAAAAUCGUCAGUGCAAAGAUCAAGGGAAAGAGAAAUGCAGAAAAUAUCGCGUCAAAAUUCCAGAGGACAGAUCGCAUCAGAAGUUGUCUGCAAAUGUCAGGAUUUUUCAAAUGUCCUGACUGCUUCUAAAGAGAAAAUAGCAACUUGGUAUUUUCUGUUCGUCGUAUUGAAAUUAAAUAUUUCAACAGAAGGGGACUGUGUAGGUCCAAGGGAUGUGAGAUCACAUGGUCGCUCAGGAAGCAUGGACUCUGUUUCCAAUCUCUGCCACUGCCUGACCACAGCACCUUGUGAAGGUCAUUACCCCUCUCUCUUCUUCAGUUUUAUCAGCUGACCAUUGUAUCGCUUCAUACAAUGCUUUGAGAUAUAAAAUAAAGAUGGAAAAAUCCCCUGUGUAUGUUAACUGGAACCUGUCCCUUUUUAAUUUUUUUUGCUCAUUUUUCCACAGCACACUCUCAUCCUUGUCUCUUCUAGAAAAGUAUGUCUCUACAUUCAGUCAAAGCGAUACAAAAAUAAAUGGAAGAGAGAAGCC